rnacentral:snoRNA from 1 species
GGGUAAAUGCCAAAAUCUUUGCAUUGUCUGUUGAGAGGUGAUGAUUUAAAGACAUGCUCAAUAGAAUUUUGCUGAGGACU